GGCGAUGUAGCUCAGUUGGUUAGAGCACCGGAAUCAUAAUCCGGGUGUCCGGGGUUCGAGUCCCUGCGUCGCCA
rnacentral:tRNA from 2 species